rnacentral:lncRNA from 1 species
GUUGAGAGAUCAAGAAAGAUGCUGGCUGAGAUCAACCAUUCGGUUUUUGACACAGGACGGCAAUUGUUACUGAAACUUACCUGGGCCUCCUAAGACCUGGCUGCUUCUUCUGUGGAGAGAGAAUAAUAGGAACAUCUGCUUCAAGAUUUUCAUAAAGGUCAACUAAGAAAUGUGACAAGGUUUGUGAACUAUAAAGCACUAAACAUAACUGUGCAUCCCUACAUUUUAGGAGUUACAAAACAAAGAAAAACAGUUAACACCACUCCACCAAAUGAAUAGAGGAAAUUUAGUAAAGAUGUCAACCUCUCUGUAUUGGAAGAAGCUCCUUGUUGCUUGUCUUGACCCUGCCUCCCAUCGCUGAGGAGUCUAGUUCACCUCUAAGCCAAGUAGGAUGAGAGUAUAUUUGGUGUCUGAGCUCAUUUUUGAAUCUACUUCAUUUGUGUUACCACACAUUAUUCAUUCCCCCUGUUCAACUAUCUACUAAGACAUUUAAACUGGCCAAGAAACAUCUAUCUAGCAAAAUUUUGGCUGAGAGUGUUCCUCCAAAUAGAAUAAUCUAUUUCUAAAUUAAACCAGAUUAGCAAAAAUGUGUACACCUGUAAUAUAGUUCCUUUGUUCACUGUAAAAUCAUUGUUAUACUCUGGUGUUAUGACUUUCGUUUAUACUGAAAGAAUGUACAAGUAUGAAUACAAUGAAAUCUAUAAAUAUGUGAAGAGAGAUUAGAGCUCCCACUCAUACUUUUCCCAUUUCUGAGGUUCUUCCAGUAAGUUCCCGCGUGGGCUUCUCCAGAUUAAUUGGUCUGUUUUUAUCUGCUGCACAGAGUAAACUGUUUAACUGCUUUUAUUUUUGUUUUCUGCUAGAAAGCUUAGAGCCAGAUUUUCUUAGCCCUCAUCUUCAGAAAAUAUGUAGACUUCUAUGGCAGUAUUUCCCAACAGGUGCUCAGCAGAGCACUAGUUUCUCAAAUGUUGCAUUUAAAGAGUUUCAGAUCAAAUAAAUUUGAGAAAUGUCACAUUCUUGUUAAUUCACAAUGAGUGAAAUGUUACAUGAAAAAGGGUUCUGGAUCAAAUAAGUUUUGGGGAAAAAAACCUUAGUUUUGGAAAGUUUUUUUAUUGUUUCACAAUGUUUAUAGCAUAUUAAAGGUUUGAGAGAUUUGGUAAUAAAGAUAAUCUGUUUAAACUUGUUUCAACCAUUGCCCAUGUUCAAAUACUUUUGCUCAUGGUAUCCCUUUUUUAUGUAACACCUGCUAACAUCUGGCCUUAACAGCAUUCUGCAGAAUCCAGUUGAUAAAUCCCGCCUUAUGGUUUCCAUUCCUAGAUCCAUUUUACAUCUCUAACCCUUUUAAAUCUCUUAUGUCCCACUUGUGCUGUGUUCAGUGUAUAUCUGUUUUGUGUGUGUGUGUGUGUGUGUGUGUGUGUGUGUGUGUGUUUUGAGAUGGAGUCUUGCUCUGUCA